ACCUAGGAUAGCUCGGUCAAGCUGCGGUAGAGCAUGAGACUCUUGAUCCCAGGGUGGUGGGGUCAAGCCCCGCAUUGGGCA